rnacentral:rRNA from 1 species
UACGUAGGUGGCAAGCGUUGUCCGGAUUUACUGGGCGUAAAGAGCGCGCAGGCGGUCGUUCAAGUCGCGUGUGAAAGCCCCCGGCUCAACUGGGGAGGGUCACGCGAUACUGAUCGACUCGAAGGCAGGAGAGGGUAGUGGAAUUCCCGGUGUAGUGGUGAAAUGCGUAGAUAUCAAGAGGAACACCAGUGGCGAAGGCGAGUCCCUGGGACAACACCUGACCACUGAGGCACGAAAGCUAGGGGGAGCAA